UGUCGCCUACGGGAGGCAGCAGUGAGGAAUAUUGGUCAAUGGGCGGAAGCCUGAACCAGCCAAGUCGCGUGAGGGAAGAAGGCCCUGCGGGUCGCAGACCCCUUUGGACGGGGAGCAAGGCCGCCGACGUGUCGGCGGAAGGAGAGUACCCGUAGAACAAGCAUCGGCUAACUCCGUGCCAGCAGCCGCGGUAAUACGGAGGGUGCAAGCGUUACUCGGAAUCACUGGGCGUAAAGAGCGCGUAGGCGGGAUAGCAAGUCAGAUGUGAAAUCCUAUGGCUUAACCAUAGAACUGCAUUUGAAACU
rnacentral:rRNA from 1 species